rnacentral:lncRNA from 10 species
UUGUUAUCUUACAAACAGAGGGAGUUUCAGCAAGCUGCUGUUUUUCUUAUCUGCCAUCCUAACUAGUCUUCUCUUUUAUACUUGGGAAACGGAGGGACAGAGAUGUUUUUGAAAGACGUACCCGAUACUAGAGGCUCCAGCCAGAGCAGCUGGGAAGAAAGAAAAGGAGGGAGGAGAAAAGAAAGGAAGAGAGGGAGGCCGUCCACACUGGAAAGGAGCCUAAAUGCGAUGGCCAGGUAUUACUGACACAAGUGUGGAAGCGUUUAAACCUGGUAGAAUGUGACUACUUCGGGAUGGAGUUUCAAAAUACUCAGUCCUACUGGGGUCUCGCUAUUUGUUGCCCAGGCUGGAGUGUAGUGGUGUGAACACAGUUCUCUGCAGCCUCAACCUCCUGGGUUCAAGCUGUCUUCCCACCUCAGUCUCAAGAUAAUUAUUUUCGUUCAUCUACUUAUUAAAUUUUUUAAACUAAGG